GACCGUCCAGUUCCAAACUGUUCACGACCGUUUGAAACAGUCGACGUUUCAAACGGUCGGUGAACGGUCGCUGGCGGAUUUGACAGCAGAAAUGAGCGAGAAAGAUUUCGCGCGCAAACGCGUAUCUGAAAACAUUCAGUUGGUGAAACAAGGGCAGCUGACCGGGCGCCAACUGAUUCCUUGAUCAGCUGUUGCCGGCAACCAAGCCCCCAGCUUCUUAGCGCGGAAGUCGGGGGGUGUUCAGAUGCAAUGUUUAUCAAUUAAUAAAUUUGUGAGGAUAUUCUUCCGCGAUGAAUGUUUUGUAUUUUCUAAAAUAAGGUGUAAUAAAGGCAAUUUACCUCGCAAUUUACAUAAUAACCAAGAUAAUAACCUAUGUUUUAAGUUCUUAAGACCUGAAUGUUUGCAAUAAUGAUGUGCUCGAAACCAAUUUGCUGAUUGAUCGAUUUCUAUAGAAUACAUCGAGGACCCCCUCGAACAAGCCCUCGAAAUUCGACGACUGUUCUGAACAGUUUCACAAACAGUCGGGAUAAUCCAACUUUGAACUGAAUACACAAUACUCGCAUCUCUUUACAUCUUAUGCGAUCGACGUAAACAAGCCUAUCGAUUUUAUCUGUCAAACUGAGGUCAAACCGGUCAAAACAGAUUGAAACAUUUCGACAAUGAUUUUUCAUAAGGGCCUAACUGACUUGAUCGAUUUCUCUUCGUCGACUCUCUCUUUUGCUAAUAGCUUGAUCAAAACAAACAAAAUCAUUAUUCUUUUUGUUUAUAUAGCAACAUUUAGUCGUCUUCUUCGCAUUUCAACCAAAAAAUCUUUGGAAAACUAAAUACACAUUCUGUGGUAACACAAAGAGAGGAUCGAUGAAGAGAGCUCGAAAAUGUCAGUUAGGUCCAAAUGAAAAAUCAGUGUCGAUUUUUCCAGUGAACCACGCAUUAAAGUUUGUCGUCGGAUGGCCGCAUCCGGAAAAGAUGAAUCCAGUGGCCGUGAUACGAACGACCCGCCUGAGGGCGCCAGGCGACGUCCCGAUAAAAGCUCCUGGAAAGCAUCGACGACAGGUCGAGCACAGUGAAUUAUGCAACGUAGAUACCUCCACCAUCGGCCGUCGGAACCAGCUUUGUUGAUCUUUUUAUUCCGCUUCUGGGACUGGUGAAGGAUGUUUCUUGACGACGAUUGCCCUUUGCGGGUUUGCCGGUCACCGGCAGUAUGAAACGAGUACGGAUUCUUGGUCAGGAGCAGAAGAAACGAUAGUUUCACCAACGAAGGCAGCUAUCCAGAUGCGACCAAAGUAACAAGCUGUGAGGAAGCGACUGUUCGGCAGCAAAGAUCUUAGGAAACUGAUGGAAUGAAUAAAUUCUAUUGAAAUGAUUAUGCUUCUACCACGACGUUCGUUGAUUUAGCUCUAACAAUCCAUGAAAAAGGAUAUACAACACUUCCUCCGGAUCGGCUUGGCCACGAGAGCUCCCAAAAUGGGAUAAACGCCACCAUCAAAAUAGUCAUCGCUCAAGCCCAAACGACGAUGAAAAGAGGCGAGCUCACCCAGGAAUAAUACGUUUAGAUCAUAACGAAUGGAGCCCUUAUGUAUCUGGAGCAUAGAUGAAUACAUAUUUUUCUAUUUUAUUUUGCAUUUUUAUAAAUAGAUAAAUAUAGAGAAUAUCGCAAAUAUUUCCGCACGGUCAUGCUUAGGGUGAAGGGUUUUUUUUCAUAAAAAUUUGGAACGUAAAAAAAUGCAGAAGGUAAGACAAAAUUUGCUCGGAUUCCUAGUUUAUUUCAAUUAUGUUCUUGAGCGUUUUUAGCAUUCCGUUUACUUGGGCUCUGGCCCAGCGUUUGCAGUAGUUUUCCCAUAUGGAGUUCUCUCUAAUAAGGAAGCAACUGAGCUGACUUGGGACAGCGUGAUGUUUAAACGGUCAUAAAAGCUGAUUAAUAUGGUCUGGGAGGGGAUUCCUCAUUCGAUGCGUCCGCUGAUGUGGAUGAGGCUUUUGAGGGCACUACAGAAGCUCAAAUCGGAAAACGUCCUUCCGGCUUAAAUCGCAAAGGACUUCCGAAUAAUAAUGCUUUGAUGAUCUCGAAGCAAAUCGAGAUUCGAAAACGACCUGUUCCGUGUCAUGUCGACCAAAGUUUGUUCCAGGUCGCAGAUUAGCACCGAAAUUCUGGAAUCUGCGGGGAAAUGCCUGACUAUAUCCGAACAUUUGCUACUUCCAUGGAAUUGAGGUAAUUGUCGUCUCUCUGCUCUUACGGCUGGAGGAAGAGGAUGCCCCCUGGAUGAUGGCCACGAUUGUAGAGGAUCUACUGCUGGCUCUAGAAAAGCAUCUUUCAAAUUUCUGAAAAGUAAGUAACGUUAACAAAUAUAAUCGAAUAAAUUCUUAAAUUUUAAUGAAACUUCUUAUUACCUGCGACGUUAUUUCUAGGUUUUAUUAAGUUAUCCCUAAUAAAAAUGUAUUAUAUACUGCUGAUAGGGUGAAUGAUUGUAUCAUUCCCUGUAUGAUUAAGAUGAUAGCCCCGAGGAUAGCCCGAAAGGGUUGUUAAGCACGUUGUAUCAUAUUUUUCUAUUAGGGAUAUUUACAUUUGAUCCCGAGUUUGAUCCUAUAACACUAUGUGAAAAGAGCCUAACUAGGUAUUUGAUUGCACCAACUUAAACUCAAACAUUUUUUAGCUAUUCUGAUAUAAUUACCUAUGCAAUGAAGCUGAAAUAAAAGAUAGAUAAGCGCUUGGAUAAAUAUUGAAUCAUUCUUAGGGCGUAUUUGCGAAAAUAUAGUCGAAUCAGAUUUUAAUUAUCCAAAACGUAUUUCAUUGUAAAAAUCAAUUAGACCCUUUUCACAUUCUGUUCUGGACUAGCCUUCGAACAUCUAUGUCCUAUCCAUUAACAUCUCCUUCUAUCUCGAAGCAGCGCUCGGCAGGAUUUGAAGUUGGAUGCAGUGCAAAGUAGAUAGAAAAAUCUCACAGUGGCACACCUAUCUAAAAAAGUAGAUGCAUCUUCGUCGACAUCUGUAGGAGGAUUUAGCUGUGUCGCCCCCCUCGAUCCGCGAGCGGUAAUGGCGGCGGCGGGCACAAAUAACCGAUUCGAAUUUUGACGUUUCUUGGGGAUCGCAAACGGUUGGCGCCACCAAACGGUGGGUGAAGGGGUGAGGAGGAGAAUGAAACUGUUUUGACUUUCCCCCAAGAAACGUCAAAAUCCGAACCGGUUGGAUUUGCCCGCCGCCGCCAUUACCGCUCGCGGAUAAGUGGAUAUUGUAGAUAUGACGAAGCCACACCAUACCUCGUUUUCAGGCCAAACAUGUCUAAUGGUCCAAUCUGCAGAAGAGAGGCUCUCUUUGCUUUCCCUCUCUUUCGUUAAUAUCGCAGCUGUUUAUUUGUAUUAUGAUUGUCUCCUUGCAUUGAACGAUGGUCAAAACAAUCGUCUUUUGAUUUGUACUGAAAAAAAUAGUUGAAAAGUGUACCAUUACCAGGGUUGUGCAGUUUCAGGAUGGUCAAUGUCGAAUGACACUCUCUCUAACCAUCACUUCAUACGACAAACGCAGACCAUCAAAACAUAAUCGAUUCACGCAAAAGCCACUCAAGCCAACCCUCGUUCAAUGCAGAGUCAACCACAUCCAACAGCAGCGAUCGUCUCUUGUUUUCGAACCACACGAUGAAACACCGAAGCGAGUUUUUAUUCUACGCUUUGCAUUCUAUUCAUAGGGCGUGCUAUGUUUGUGUUUGCUGCGCCAUGCAAUACUACUUAACAAAUUGACCUUCAUCCUGGCAUUUUCAGACGAGAGUCACCCAGCAGUGAGUGACAUAGCUCUGCGUCGGAACGACUCUUAAGAAGCGUUCGGCUACUCAAGAGAUUUGCAGAGAAAGAGCGUGGCGGCGGCAGCCACCGUAUCAAUGCGUUCGUCUCGAAUGUGUUUGUUAGCAACAUACACAGUUAAAAAAGUUGUUGAAUAUUACAUCGAAAUCGCUGCAACCAGGUCGUUACAUCGAUCGAUGAAUAUUACACAGCCCGAUGUACACGAAGGCUUUGGAUGUAAUAAACAGAUCCGAUGUAAUUUGCGCGAUGUAAUAAUUCCGACGUACACAUAUACAACGUAAUUGAAGCGAUGUAAAAUGGAAACGAUUUGAAAUGCUCUUCGAUGGCAGAUUAAAUUACAUUUUCAUCCCUUUUCGAUCAGAUUUACGUGUAGCUGAAGGAAGCACUAGAGCUACACUAAACUAAAAUCGAGAAAGGAUAAUAACAUAAUUUAAUCAGCCACAGAAGAGGAAACAAUAGCGUAUAGAUAAACUAAGUUUGAACCAGAAUUAAUUGUGUAUUUAUUUAGUAAUUUGUUAUUACACUUCUGACUAGGUUCUUGUUGUCUUCUUUCAGGACAGCUAGGUCAGAGCCUGCACAAUAAAUAGCAUUUUCAUUUUCAAACUAGUGAGUGCUUUUCAAUAACUAAACAUUUUAAAUUUGUUUAUUAUAUGGCAGAUACGACGAUCAUCUACACCUAAGAAAGUCAAUAAUCUUUCGCAUUUCUAUUACGAUGAGAUCGUGGACCGCUGAAUGCCCGUGUGUUUGCCACUUCGGCUAUACGGCUCCUCGAGCUGCUUCUCUGGUUCCGCGCUAAUCCCGACGCCGACAGUGUAAAGGGAACACUGACUUGAAGACGGCUGUAUAGUCAUACUGAAACAUACAACAAAAUGUUAGUAGGUACUUAUGAUUUGAAAUAAAAAAUCAAACUUGGUCAUUAUA